rnacentral:rRNA from 1 species
GACGAACGCUGGCGGCGUGCCUAAUACAUGCAAGUAGAACGCACAGUUUAUACCGUAGCUUGCUACACCAUAGACUGUGAGUUGCGAACGGGUGAGUAACGCGUAGGUAACCUGCCUGGUAGCGGGGGAUAACUAUUGGAAACGAUAGCUAAUACCGCAUAAUAUUGAUUAUUGCAUGAUAAUUAAUUGAAAGGUGCAAUUGCACCACUACCAGAUGGACCUGCGUUGUAUUAGCUAGUAGGUGAGGUAACGGCUCACCUAGGCGACGAUACAUAGCCGACCUGAGAGGGUGAUCGGCCACACUGGGACUGAGACACGGCCCAGACUCCUACGGGAGGCAGCAGUAGGGAAUCUUCGGCAAUGGACGAAAGUCUGACCGAGCAACGCCGCGUGAGUGAAAAAGGUUUUCGGAUCGUAAAGCUCUGUUGUAAGAGAAGAACGGGUGUGAGAGUGGAAAGUUCACACUGUGACGGUAUCUUACCAGAAAGGGACGGCUAACUACGUG